rnacentral:rRNA from 1 species
UACGAAGGGGGCUAGCGUUGUUCGGAAUCACUGGGCGUAAAGGGCUCGUAGGCGGCCAACUAAGUCAGACGUGAAAUCCCUCAGCUUAACUGGGGAACUGCGUCUGAUACUGGAUGGCUUGGAUUCGGGAGAGGAAUGCGGAAUUCCAGGUGUAGCGGUGAAAUGCGUAGAUAUCUGGAGGAACACCGGUGGCGAAGGCGGCAUUCUGGACCGAUAUUGACGCUGAGGAGCGAAAGCCAGGGGAGC